UACGUAGGGUGCAAGCGUUUGUCCGGAAUUAUUGGGCGUAAAGAGCUCGUAGGCGGUUUUGUCGCGUCGGCUGUGAAAGCCCCGGAGCUCAACUCCGGGUCUGCAGUCGAUACGGGCAGACUUGAGUGUUGCAGGGGAGACUGGAAUUCCUGGUGUAGCGGUGAAAAUGCGCAGAUAUCAGGAGGAACACCGGUGGCGAAGGCGGGUCUCUGGGCAACAACUGACGCUGGAGGAGCGAAAGCGUGGGGAGCGAACAGG
rnacentral:rRNA from 1 species